rnacentral:rRNA from 1 species
UACGUAGGGUGCAAGCGUUGUCCGGAAUUAUUGGGCGUAAAGAGCUCGUAGGCGGUCUGUCGCGUCGGCUGUGAAAACCUGGGGCUUAACCCCGGGCCUGCAGCCGAUACGGGCAGACUAGAGUGUGGUAGGGGAGAUCGGAAUUCCUGGUGUAGCGGUGGAAUGCGCAGAUAUCAGGAGGAACACCGGUGGCGAAGGCGGAUCUCUGGGCCAUAACUGACGCUGAGGCACGAAAGCGUGGGUAGCGAACGGG